rnacentral:rRNA from 1 species
UACGUAGGGGGCUAGCGUUGUCCGGAUUUAUUGGGCGUAAAGAGCGUGUAGGCGGCCAGGUAGGUCUGCUGUGAAAGUCCAAGGCUCAACCUUGGGAUGCCGGUGGAUACUGUCGAGCUCGAGUCCGGAAGAGGAGUGUGGAAUUCCUGGUGUAGCGGUGAAAUGCGCAGAUAUCUGGAGGAAUACCGGUGGCGAAGGCGGCAUCCUGGACCGACAUUGACGCUGAGGAGCGAAAGCUAGGGGAGCAAACGGG